UACGUAGGGUGCAAGCGUUGUCCGGAAUUAUUGGGCGUAAAGAGCUCGUAGGCGGUCUGUCGCGUCGGAUGUGAAAACCCAGGGCUCAACCCUGGGCCUGCAUUCGAUACGGGCAGACUAGAGUUCGGUAGGGGAGACUGGAAUUCCUGGUGUAGCGGUGAAAUGCGCAGAUAUCAGGAGGAACACCGGUGGCGAAGGCGGGUCGCUGGGCCGAAACUGACGCUGAGGAGCGAAAGCGUGGGGAGCAAACAGG
rnacentral:rRNA from 1 species